GACAUCUCAACAGGAAACGGAACACCCGGUGACCGCUGCCUGCCCUGUUUGUGACCUGUGUCCUUCAGCGUUUAAACUCAUAGAAAGGAGCCUAUAAACGGCGAUUUCGUGACUCUCUACUCUUUCUGAAGCACGUUUACUUCUCCUGACCAAAACGUUUGCUCGCCGACAAUCUACAUAAUUUAGUAGCAAACUGAAUAGUGCUAGCCUGGGGCGAGAAACUCGUCAGUACACUGGAAUGUACUGCGUUAAAAUCCAUGCAAUGGGGCCAAUUCAGAGAUUAGUUGUCGGACAGAGAUCUUGGAGAAACAUCCGCAUCUACACCCUUUAGACCGAAAAUUGAAAGAUAUCUUACUUCGAUCCCGAAUAUUUGGAGUGAAUACAUGAAGAGAGCUUUAAGUGAAGGGACAAGGUAGCCAUAUUCGAACUGUCGAUCGACACAGGUUCAGGGCGAAGUAGCGAUGGAGGAUGCUGAAUGUAAAAUGAACUGAACAAUGACUGAUUUGAAUGGAAUAACGCAGCCAACACUCGUAUAUCAACAAACAUAACGCGUUAUCAAGAGUGCAUACAAUGUCCU